GGGUCAGUAGGUUGGUCGUGCCACCGGUACGUACUGGUCUCACUGAUUCCUCCUUCCUGAAGAACCGUAAUGCCAUUAAUUUGGUGCUGCGGGGAAACAGGACUGUUACUUGGAAAAAAUUAGAGGGUCUAAAGCAAGCUAACGCUUGAAUACAUUAGCAUGGAAUAAUGAAAUAGGACGAUCGAUCCUAUUUUGUUGGUUUCUAGGAUUGACGUA
rnacentral:rRNA from 1 species